GACGAACGCUGGCGGCGUGCUUAACACAUGCAAGUCGAACGGAAAGGCCCUGCUUGCAGGGUACUCGAGUGGCGAACGGGUGAGUAACACGUGGGUGAUCUGCCCUGCACUUCGGGAUAAGCCUGGGAAACUGGGUCUAAUACCGGAUAGGAGCCAUUUUGAGUGUGAUGGUUGGAAAGUUUUUUCGGUGUAGGAUGAGCUCGCGGCCUAUCAGCUUGUUGGUGGGGUAAUGGCCUACCAAGGCGGCGACGGGUAGCCGGCCUGAGAGGGUGGACGGCCACAUUGGGACUGGGAUACGGCCCAGACUCCUACGGGGGGCAGCAGUGGGGAAUAUUGCACAAUGGGCGCAAGCCUGAUGCAGCGACGCCGCGUGGGGGAUGACGGCCUUCGGGUUGUAAACUCCUUUCGCUAGGGACGAAGCUUUUUGUGACGGUACCUAGAUAAGAAGCACCGGCUAACUACGUG
rnacentral:rRNA from 1 species